UGGGGGAUUCUCGAAGAGAAAAUGCUUGGUUUUCUGGUUAAAUGGGGGAUUUUUGAAGAGAAAACGCGUGACUUUCGCUUAAAUGUGGGAUUUGAGAAAACGCGUGAUUUUCACUUAAAUGUAGGAUUCUCAAAGAGAAAACGUGAUUUACGCAUAAAUGUGUGAUUUGCGAAAAGAAAGCUCGUGUUUUUCGCAUAAAUGGGGGAUUUGUGUAGAGAAAACGCGUGAUUUUCAAGUUAAAUGGGGGAUUUGCGAAGAGAAAACGUGUGAUUUUCGCUUAAAUUGAUGAUUCUCAAAGAGAAAACGUGUGAUUUUCGCUUAAAUGUGGGAUUUCUGAAGAGAAAACGCGUGUUUUUUUGUGUUAAAUGGGGGAUUCUCGAAGAGAAAACGCGUGAUUUUCGCUUAAAUGGGGGAUUUGAGAAGAGAAAACGUGUGAUUUUCACUUAAAUGGGGGAUUUGCGAAGAGAAAACGCGUGAUUUUCGCAUAAAUGGGGGAUUUGAGAAGAGAAAACGCGUGAUUUCCGUGUAAAUGGGGGAUUCUCAAAGAGAAAACGCGAGAUUUUCGCUUAAAUGGGGGUUUUGCGAAGGGAAAACUUGUGAUUUUCACUUAGAUGUGGGAUUUCUGAAGAGAAAACUCGUGUUUUUUGGGUUAAAUGGGGGAUUCUCGAAGAGAAAACGCGUGAUUUUCGCAUAAAUGGGGGAUUUGAGAAGAGAAAACGCGUGAUUUUCGUUUAAAUGGGGGAUUCUCAAAGAGAAAACGCGAGAUUUUCGCUUAAAUGGGGGUUUUGCGAAGGGAAAACUUGUGAUUUUCACUUAGAUGUGGGAUUUCUGAAGAGAAAACUCGUGGUUUUUGGGUUAAAUGGGGGAUUCUCGAAGAGAAAACGCGUGAUUUUCGCAUAAAUGGGGGAUUUGAGAAGAGAAAACGCGUGAUUUUCGUUUAAAUGGAGGAUUCUCGAAGAGAAAACGCGUGAUUUUCUGGUUAAAUGGGGGAUUUGAGAAAACACAUGAUUUUCUGGUUCAAUGGGGGAUUCUCGAAGAGAAAAUGCUUGGUUUUCUGGUGUAAUGGGGGAUUUGCAAAGAGAAAACGCGUGACUUUUGCUUAAAUGGGGGAUUUGAGAAAACACAUGAUUUUCGCUUAAAUGGGGGAUUUCCGAAGAGAAAACGCAUGAUUUUCAAGUUAAAUGGGGGAUUUGCAAAGAGAAAACGCGUGAUUUUCGCUUCAAUGGGGGAUUUCAGAAAAG
ensembl:lncRNA